UACGGAGGAUGCAAGCGUUAUCCGGAAUUAUUGGGCGUAAAGCGUCCGUAGGUGGUUAUUCAAGUCAGUUGUUAAAGCGUGGGGCUUAACCCCAUAAAGGCAAAUGAAACUGAAUGGCUAGAGUGCGAUAGGGGCAAGGGGAAUUUCCAGUGUAGCGGUGAAAUGCGUAGAUAUUGGAAAGAACACCGGUGGCGAAAGCGCCUUGCUGGGUCUGCACUGACACUGAGGGACGAAAGCUAGGGGAGCGAAAGGG
rnacentral:rRNA from 1 species